UUUUUCAUCCCACAUUAGAUAAAUUGGAAAAUUCAAAUCUAAAACAAAAUGAAAUUAAAAAUACACUUGAUACUGAUGAUUAUUUUCAAUGUAUUCAAAGUGAAACAGCAGUUAGAUUUGAAAAUAUAGAUAGAAUGGAGAGCAAAACAACUGCCAUGAUAGCCAAGGGUUCAAAAGACUCCCAUGAAGCCAAUAUUCUAAAGGGAGGGGGGAGGUCUAACCAAGUGAAACUAUAUGAACUUACAGAUAGCUAUGAUUUAAAAUUCAUAUUCCAGUGAAGGAGGAAAUAAGACACAGUCAAAUUUAAGUGGAGAUCAGUUAGGAAAUGAUUUAUACCAAGAAGAUUUAACUAGUUCAACCAUACAAUUGGCAGAAGAUAACAAUGCAGUGCAAAAUGAAUCAUUAGCAAUUAACUCAAUAGCUGCCCCAAAACCAGAACCAUAUGUAUGAAUUAAGCAGUUUUUGUCAAAUAGUGGGUUUUUGUCCGAAAAGCUGGGAUUCGAUUGGAGGAAGCGGAGUCAAGAUGUCGGCUUAGCAAGCAGCAAAAGUUCAGACCUUGUGGAAGACCCUUCCUUAACCAAUACAGACUGAAUGCUCCUAGGGCACCGAAAUUCAAACUGAACACCAGGACAGAAGCAGGGAACCCUCCUUCUGGACUCAAAUCAAAAGGUCUUCACUACUAUAAGGAAAUGGGCUAUGUUCAGUACCAAAGGAAAAAAUAUUUUUUAUACCAAAAUCCUUUAUAUCAGGAGAGACCACAUAGUCUGGGUAGGAGGAACAAGUGAAGAAACUGGAGGAAAUAAAUAGAAGGGCAGGCCAGAGGGCA
rnacentral:lncRNA from 1 species